rnacentral:rRNA from 1 species
UACGUAGGUGGCAGGCGUUGUCCGGAAUCACUGGGCGUAAAGCGCGCGCAGGCGGCGAUCUACGUCUGGGGUGAAAGCCCGGAGCUCAACUCCGGGACUGCCUUGGAUACGGGAUCGCUUGAGGAUUGGAGAGGCAAGGGGAAUUCCACGUGUAGCGGUGAAAUGCGUAGAUAUGUGGAGGAACACCUGUGGCGAAGGCGCCUUGCUGGCCAAUUUCUGACGCUGAGGCGCGAAAGCGUGGGGAGCAAACAGG